rnacentral:tRNA from 2 species
UCCGUGAUAGUUUAAUGGUCAGAAUGGGCGCUUGUCGCGUGCCAGAUCGGGGUUCAAUUCCCCGUUGCGGAG